GACGAACGCUGGCGGCGUGCUUAACACAUGCAAGUCGAACGGAAAGGCCUGUCCUUCCUUGUGUUGGACGGGUACUCGAGUGGCGAACGGGUGAGUAACACGUGAGUGAUCUGCCCCCAACUUGGGUAUAAGCCUGGGAAACUGGGUCUAAUUCCCGAUAGGACUGCAGGGUGGUGCCUGUGGUGGAAAACGAUUUUCUAGUGGUUGGGGAUGAGCUCGCGGCCUAUCAGCUUGUUGGUGGGGUAAUGGCCUACCAAGGCGGCGACGGGUAGCCGGCCUGAGAGGGUGGACGGCCACAUUGGGACUGAGAUACGGCCCAGACUCCUACGGGAGGCAGCAGUGGGGAAUAUUACACAAUGGGCGGAAGCCUGAUGCAGCGACGCCGCGUGGGGGAUGACGGCCUUCGGGUUGUAAACUCCUUUCGACCGCGAGGAAGCCGCCUGGUUGGAAGGGUGGUGACGGUAGUGGUAGAAGAAGCACUGGCUAACUACGUG
rnacentral:rRNA from 1 species